GCCAGCAUGGUGUUGUGGUUUGAGUGUUGGACUAUGACUCUGGAGACCAGGGUUCAAAUCCCCAUUCAGCCG
rnacentral:tRNA from 1 species